rnacentral:rRNA from 1 species
UGGGGAAUCUUCCGCAAUGGGCGAAAGCCUGACGGAGCAACGCCGCGUGAGGGACGAAGGCCUCUGGGCUGUAAACCUCUUUUCUCAAGGAAGAAGAUAUGACGGUACUUGAGGAAUAAGCCACGGCUAAUUCCGUGCCAGCAGCCGCGGUAAUACGGGAGUGGCAAGCGUUAUCCGGAAUUAUUGGGCGUAAAGCGUCCGCAGGCGGCUUUUCAAGUCUGCUGUUAAAGCGUGGAGCUUAACUCCAUCAUGGCAGUGGAAACUGAAAGGCUUGAGUAUGGUAGGGGCAGAGGGAAUUCCCGGUGUAGCGGUGAAAUGCGUAGAUAUCGGGAAGAACACCAGUGGCGAAGGCGCUCUGCUGGGCCAUUACUGACGCUCAUGGACGAAAGCCAGGGGAGCGAAAGGGAUUAGAUACCCCUGUAGUCA